GCCUGGGUGGUUCAGUUGGUUGAGCGUCUGACUUCGGCUUGGGUCAUGAUCUCGUGGUUUGUGGGUUCAAGCCCCGCCUUGGGUU
rnacentral:tRNA from 1 species